AGCUUUGGUUAUCCUAACGGCACCAGAUCCUGUCUGAUCUUGGAAGCUAAGCAGGGUCAACCCUGGUUAGUAUUUGGAUGGGAGAGUCCCGAUGACUACUAGAUGCUAGAGUUC
rnacentral:rRNA from 11 species